AUGCCUUAGUAGCGGCGAGUGAAGCGGCAAGAGCUCAAAUUUGAAAUCUGGUACCUUCGGUGCCCGAGUUGUAAUUUGAAGAAAGCUAUCUUGGAGGUGGCCUUUGUCUAUGUUCCUUGGAACAGGACGUCAUGGAGGGUGAGAAUCCCGUGUGAUGAGGUGUCCAUUUCCGUGUAAGAUGCUUUCGAAGAGUCGAGUUGUUUGGGAAUGCAGCUCAAAGUGGGUGGUAAAUUCCAUCUAAAGCUAAAUAUUGGCGAGAGACCGAUAGCGAACAAGUACUGUGAAGGAAAGAUGAAAAGAACUUUGAAAAGAGAGUGAAAAAGUACGUGAAAUUGUUGAAAGGGAAGGGUAUUUGAUCAGACUUGGUAUUUAGCUAUCAUCGCUCCUUGUGGGUGGUGCUCUAGCUUUUUACUGGGCCAGCAUCAGUUUUGGUGGCAAGAUAAUGACAGUUGAAUGUGGCUCCUCGGAGUGUUAUAGCUUCUGUUGAUGUUGCCUACCGAGACUGAGGUCUGCGGCUUUUGCCUAGGAUGCUGGCGUAAUGAUCCAAUACCGCCCGUCU
rnacentral:rRNA from 1 species